rnacentral:rRNA from 1 species
AAUCGUACGUAGAGUGUAAAGGCAAAAGAGAGCUUGAUUGCAAGACAUACAGGUCGAGCAAGGAUGAAAAUCGGACUUAGUGAUCCGGUGGUUCUGCGUGGAAGGGCCAUCGCUCAACGGAUAAAAGCUACCCUGGGGAUAACAGGCUUAUCUCCCCCAAGAGUCAACAUCGACGGGGAGGUUUGGCACCUCGAUGUCGGCUCAUCACAUCCUGGGGCUGUAGUAGGUCCCAAGGGUUGGGCUGUUCGCCCAUUAAAGUGGUACGCGAGCUGGGUUCAGAACGUCGUGGGACAGUUCGGUCCCUAUCCGUCGCAGGCGUAGGAAAUUUGAGAAGACCUGUCCUUAGUACGAGAGGACCGGGAUGGACGUACCUCUGGUGUACCAGUUGUCCUGCCAAGGGCAUGGCUGGGUAGCUAUGUACGGAAUGGAUAAG